GGAGAAUGUAUAAAGUAAAAUCAGAAGUCACAAUGAAAUGUAUCAAGCGGACAUAAUGCUUUCAACAUUGCUCUUUUAUAAGCCGGGAAGUUGUUGAACUUGUAUCACUGAUUUAUGCGGAAUGAAAGUUGUCCAACUACCCAUCAGAAUACCGUAAAUAAGCUGGGAAAUAAAGAGCGCAAUGCACACUUAUCGCCGACACGCGAAGCUCCCAAGCCUGAUGCGGUGUAUAGAUUGCACUCAUGUCAGAAUCCAAUCCAUUGGAGAAGCAGAUACCUAAACUUUUCGAAGCAAAAAAGCGUACCCUUCCUUCAAGAACCACAAGCUGCCUGUAUUGCUGGACAUGAGUGCAUUUUUUUUGGCAAUGUAGUCUGGAGCAACGAUUUGAGCUGAACGAAUUUAGGGACUGUUUUUUAUUGAGCGCCAUUGGAGUUUCACUCUGCAAAACUAUAAACAUGAUUCUCACCUGUCAAAUAAAAAAAUAUUUUAUCGGCUUAAAGGAACUUGUGAGAUCAUUACAUAGAUUAAAACUGGUAUUCGGUAGUAGAGAGUAGAAAUCUUAAAUCAAUUAUUUUUGAGUUUUACUAUAGUUGUUUGAAAAUAGAGUAAAUUAGUGAUAAAAGUUGUUGAAUACUGCGUGCAAAAUUAAGUGAGAUUUUAUUGCAAACUGAUCACACUUGGAAGGGUUGUUAUGGUAAUCCAAUUAAGACACUGGAAAAUGGUUGGUUCCAUUGGGGCGAUCUUGGUGAUUUCGAUGAUGAAGGCUUUCUUUACAUUGCGGAUCGCAAGAAGGAUAUACUCAAGUAUCAGGGUGCGCAUUAUUUGCCUGCGGAAAUUGAGCAGAUUUUACAAGAAUUGCCUGAAGUGGCGGAAGUUUGUGUGGUGGGUGUGUAUGAUGAGCGAAAUGCUGAUGCGGCCGGUGCAGUGGUGCGUCGUAAAGGUGCAGGUCUAAUUGAGCAACAGAAUAAUAAUGGGAAAAUAUUGGAGAGAGAAGCCAAAGUUUUACUGGAGGAAAGGAAAGUGCAAAGGGAAAUCUCUUAAUACGAUUAAGUGU